rnacentral:rRNA from 1 species
GUGCCAGCCGCCGCGGUAAUACGUAGGAUGCAAGCGUUAUCCGGAAUUAUUGGGCGUAAAGCGUACGUAGGCGGUUUACCAAGUCUGGAGUUAAAGACCGAGGCUCAACCUCGGGAGUGCUCUGGAAACUGGUAGGCUGGAGGACGGCAGAGGAAAGUGGAAUUCCCAGUGUAGCGGUGAAAUGCGUAGAUAUUGGGAGGAACACCAGUGGCGAAAGCGACUUUCUGGGCCGUUCCUGACGCUGAGGUACGAAAGCCAGGGGAGCAAACGGGAUUAGAUACCCCGGUAGUCCUGGCCGUAAACGAUGGAUACUAGGUGUCAUAGGUAUCAACCCCUGUGGUGCCGUAGCUAACGCGUUAAGUAUCCCGCCUGGGGAGUACGGUCGCAAGGCUGAA